UAGAUGCAGUUUUUGCAAUAGACCUUAUCGAAGUGCUAAAGAUGCCUGUCAAUAUAUGAUUUCUUUUAAGUAGACAGCGAGGCAACCCUAGAUGAAUUUUCGAAAGAGAUAUCAAGGGUUUCUUUGAUAAUAUAUGCCAUGAGUGAAUAUUAGAAAAUAUUCCUAUGGAUAAAAAGAUAUUGUCAAAAAUGUUAAAAGCUGGCGUUAUGAAUGAAGGCAGUUAUCAAGAUACUGAAGAAGGUAUUCCACAGGGUGGUGUAAUAUCUCCUAUUAUAGCUAAUUUAUGCCUUGAUGGUUUAGAUAAAACUAUAAAAAGGGCGUCUAAUAAUAAAGCAACUCUUGUGAGAUAUGCGGAUGAUUUCAUUAUAGUGUCCCAGAACUAUGAUAUUUUAGAUAAGUUAAUUCUAGAUGUUAACAAAUUUCUAAAAAUAAGAGGUUUAGAAUUAAAUAUGGAAAAAAGUAAAAUCACUAAAAUUGAAAAUGGAUUUGAUUUUGUAGGUUUCCACUUUAGGGAAUUCUCGGAUUCUACUCGAGAAAUCGGGGAAAAGAAAGGGAUUUUUCUAUACAAACCUACAAAAGAAAGCUUACAAAAAGUAAAAGCUAAAAUAAAACUUUGUGUCAAAGAACAUUCGCAACUUCCUCUGUGAAUGCUUUUCUCAAAACUAAAUCCAAUAUUAAGGGGCUGAGCAAAUUAUUACUCGUCUAGUACUGCAAAGUUAGCUUAUACCCGAAUAAGUAAAUACGUUUUUGAUUCCAUUCAUCGCAUGAUAAAAAUUAAGCAUCCAAAGCUUAAUGCUAAAGCGCUUAAAUCCAAAUUUUAUCACAAAGUGAAUAAUAGAGAUUGAUUAAUGUCUACUAGCACUGAAUUUAAAAGAUUUAAGAAAAUUAAUUUGUUUCAAAUAUCCGACACUCCUAUUAAAAGAACUACUAUGAUAAAACUUGACGCUAAUUCCUAUUUGGGUGAGUUUGAGGAGUAUUUUAAUAAAAGAUCUUUGAAUAUGUGUUUUAAUCAGCAAACGAAUAAUAUUCGAUUAAAGCUGGCAAAAAGACAAAAAGGUAUGUGCCCUAUAUGUAAAGAAUCUUUAAAUAGUCAAUAUGGAGAUAUAUUGUACGAAUUAGAAAUUCACCAUAUCAUACCUGUGGUGAGUGGAGGUAAAAAUAUAUUAAAAAAUAUGACUCUUCUUCAUAAAACGUGUCAUCGCGACAGAGCUGCGUUAGAAAACUUUGACUUAAGGAACUCGGCAAAUUUGCUCCGUACGUUCGCAACAAGGAGUACCUUAAAGGAUUCAAAAAUUAGGGGUAGCGACUGUUUAACAAAAACUCAAAACUUUGCAAAUUCGAAAGAAGACGUAUAAGGUUUGACGCCUGCCCAGUGCUUGAAAGCGAAAAAUACACGUUAACGCUUGUAUCAUAAACUCAAGUAAACGGCGGUCUUAACUAUAAGGAUCCUCAGGUAGCGAAAUUCCUUGGCGGGUAAAUUCCGUCCUGCAUGAAUGGCGUCACGACUACCCCACUGUCUCUAGUAUAAACUCAGCGAAAUUACAUUGUCUGUGAAAAUGCAGACAUCCUACAACAAGACGGAAAGACCCUAUGAUUCUUAACUAUAAUUUUACGUCGCAAUAAUUUUGUGUACAGUACAGUAAAAGUAGGAGUAUACUUAUACAAUUUUGAAAAACUACUCUGUACAUAAGAAAUUGCUUACUGAAGAGAAAAUAUGUAAAAGUGGUAGUUUACUUGGGACGAGGACCUCCUAAACUGUAACGGAGGUGCACAAAAGUAAAUUUUAAUUAGUUUUUUGUAUUAAUAAAAUAUGUAAUGGUAAAAAUUUGCUUGACGGUAAGAGUUACAACUCAAACCGGGACGAAAGUCGGUCAUAAUGAUCCGGCAGUAAUGUAUGGAAAUACUGUCGCUUAUCGGAAAAAAGAAACUCUAGGGAUAACAGAUUUAUCAUGGCUGAGAGUUCUUAUCGACGCCAUGGUUUGAUACCUCGAUGUCGGCUCAUCUUUUCCUGGAGCUGUAACAGGUUCCAAGGGUAUGGUUGUUCGCCAAAUAAUAAGAUACGUGAGCUGGGUUCAGAACGUCGUGAGACAGUUCGGUCCCUAUCUGUUGUGGGUAAGAAAAAACUAGAUUUAUCUUUAGUACGAGAGGAUUAAGAUAUAUUAACCAAUAGUGUAUCGGUUGUAUUGUUUCUUGCAUUGCCGAGUAGCCACGUUAACAUUAUAUAAGUGCUGACAGCUUAAAAGCACAAAAAUAAUCUUUAUUUUUUCAAGAACUUUCUAGAAGAUUACUAGAUAGAUCGGUUUAUUAUUUAAUACUUGUAAAAGUAAGUAAAUAAAUACGAAAAGUUCAUUAUAAUUUGUGUU
rnacentral:rRNA from 1 species